CUUCCAUGUUGUGGGCAUUAGCGUAGUCUACCUUUGUAUCGUUUCCAUGCCUCUAAGUAGCAUUAUGAGUCUAGUUGUUGGAAGGUGGUAAUCUCAUCCCUUAGCUU
rnacentral:snoRNA from 1 species